rnacentral:rRNA from 1 species
CAGGACGAACGCUGGCGGCGUGCCUAAUACAUGCAAGUCGAACGGUCUUUCUAUGGAAGCUGCUUCCACUGAGAAGAUAGUGGCGAACGGGUGAGUAACACGUGGGUAACCUGCCCAUAAGAGGGGGAUAACAUCCGGAAACGGGUGCUAAUACCGCAUAGUUUUCUUGAUCGCAUGAUCGGGAAAGGAAAGACGGCCUUUGUGCUGUCGCUUAUGGAUGGACCCGCGGCGUAUUAGUUAGUUGGUGAGGUAACGGCUCACCAAGACGAUGAUACGUAGCCGACCUGAGAGGGUGAUCGGCCACAUUGGGACUGAGACACGGCCCAAACUCCUACGGGAGGCAGCAGUAGGGAAUCUUCCGCAAUGGACGAAAGUCUGACGGAGCAACGCCGCGUGAGUGAAGAAAAGGGUUUUCGGAUCGUAAAACUCUGUUGUCAGAGAAGAACAAGUUGGAGAGUAACUGCUCCAGCCUUGACGGUAUCUGACCAGAAAGCCACGGCUAACUACGUGCCAGCCGCCGC